AGUGAACGCUGGCGGUAGGCCUAACACAUGCAAGUCGAACGGCAGCACAGUAAGAGCUUGCUCUUACGGGUGGCGAGUGGCGGACGGGUGAGGAAUACAUAGGAAUCUACUUUUUCGUGGGGGAUAACGUAGGGAAACUUACGCUAAUACCGCAUACGACCUACGGGUGAAAGCAGGGGAUCUUCGGACCUUGCGCGAUUGAAUGAGCCGAUGUCGGAUUAGCUAGUUGGCGGGGUAAAGGCCCACCAAGGCGACGAUCCGUAGCUGGUCUGAGAGGAUGAUCAGCCACACUGGAACUGAGACACGGUCCAGACUCCUACGGGAGGCAGCAGUGGGGAAUAUUGGACAAUGGGCGCAAGCCUGAUCCAGCCAUACCGCGUGGGUGAAGAAGUCCUUCGGGUUGUAAAGCCCUUUUGUUGGGAAAGAAAAGCAGCAGGUUAAUACCCCGCUGUUCUGACGGUACCCAAAGAAUAAGCAUCGGCUAACUUCGUG
rnacentral:rRNA from 1 species